UUUUGGCGAGGACUUAGCAGUCCCCAGGAGCCUCUCACUGAGCCCCAAACACACAGCCCCCAAUUCACCACCUCAUCCCUUACCAGGACCUGCUGAAGCACACACCUGUGGACCACCCAGACUGCCUGCCAGUACAGGAUGCCCUCCGCAUCUCCCGGGACUUCUUUCUGUCAUCAGUGAGGACAUUGACCCCGCUGGACUGCAGUCACAAUGGACUCCCAAUGGGGAGUACACGCAGCUACAUAUUGCAGUAUACGAAGGUCACACGGUGUGCCAUGGAGACAGGAAAGGCUGGAACAGAUGGUCGCAGCCCCAUUGAAGCCCUCCUGACUCUGAAGGUGGCUGAGGGGAAACUGGAAAUCCUCAUGGAGUAGAAACCAUCCAGAGCUGUGAUGAGAGGCAUCUGCCAGGUCUCCCCAGGACACUUCUGCAGCCCGACUGAAGGCAGCCCAGAGUCUCCCAUCCCCUGGGUGUGUUUUUUUAAAAUCUGUCCGUCAUGUAUGUAUUUGGGUUUGGUAUUUGGUUCCCUCAUUGUGUCUGUCGUUCUGUAUUUUUGUGUUAAUGCCAAAACCAUGUUGUUUGGAUCA